ensembl:lncRNA
CUGCACCUGGGGCUGCAGUUGCAGGUGCAGCCAAUCGCUGGGAGCUUACACCUCCUGGCUGGCAGCAGCAUGGAGCUUUGGUGCAUGUAGGGCAGAGUGACCCAUAGUCAGAUCUGUUCUGGGUGCAUCCCUCGCCCUUCUCUUCCACUCUGUGUCCUCGCCCCAGGUUCCUCUGCUGCCGUAUCUGUCCUCAGUUACUUGGCAUUGUUUGUGGGCUGAUUUGAGAAGGAAGCCAGCACCUGCUUCUGCAGCUCAUCAGCAGUUUGUCUGGCUUUCUUCAAAUCUCUAAGUGCUGUGAAAAGCUCCUGCAGGAGGGAGAUUGGAAUGUCGGUCCCAGCGAGAUUUGGAAGCUGUGGCAGACCUGAGGGUCUCUGCUCCAGCAUGAAGACUGGAACGUUGGUCCCAGUGGGAUUUGGAGGCUGUGGCAGACCUGAGGGUCUCUGCUGCUGCACGAAGAGGACUGGAACGUUGGUCCCAGUGGGAUUUGGAGGCUGUGGCAGACCUGAGGGUCUCUGCUCACUGGAGGACUGCUUUUUCUUUGGGGACUUUCUUCUUGGAGGAGCUGGCUUGUCCUGGGUGUGUCCCUUGCCCUUCUGCUUCUGCCCCCUGGUAGCAUCUGGCAGUAAUCCACUACUCACUGCAGCUGUGCCUGCCUGGACAUCUGCUAGAACAGACUGAGAUGGGGCAGGAGCUUCAGUCUCCAAGAGCAGCCUUCUCCGAGGUAGCAGCACGUUGGCUGGCUCUCUACGGGCAACAGGAGCCAGCACGUCCAGGUGCCUGUGGCUGCUGCCACCCUGGCUCAAUGCUUUUUUGGCACCUCUGGCCUCACUGGCAUCGCUGAAAGUCUUAUCUUGAGAUGCCACCAUGUCCUUCCUCAUUGCCUCCUGAGGUGUACGUGGGUUUUUCUUUUUGGCCAGUAGACUCAGUGAUCGUCUGCUCCUACGUUGAUCUGUGUCCAGCCUGGCCUGCUCUAAGGAUCUGUUUUUCAUGAUGGGCUCUCUUCCCUUCUUUGAGAGCUUCUUAGUUGCCUUUCUGAUCAGGGAAUAGAGGGCCAUGCUGGCAGCUCGGAGCUUGGCCCCGGCAUUCUGAAUGAAAUGGCACAGGAGGGCUGGUGCACAGCAGUUUCUGCACAGCGUAGGUGGUGUCUCUGGUCUAGGAGUCGUGUGUUCUGCUGCUUCUUGCCUGGGCGUCAUCUCUGCGUGUGCUGCUUGGGGUCUGAAUGGUCUACCCGGUGGCAGACGCCUCCAUGGCAGAACCGAAGAACUCUCCACGAGGGUACGUUCA